UUCGAAAUACGAGUACCCAUAUACACACGAUUUGUUAGGAGUUACAUGCCAGACAUACAAAAAUACUCGUACACAUUAGCUCAAUAAUUUUCCUGAUUUCGGUUAAAUAUAAUGAAACGACGGGCAUCACAGACCGCCCAUGUGCGACCAUGUGCCAAGAGGCUGUACCUUGGCAAGCGCCUUGGAGCUGUAAACCAACCAACUGCCGUGAAAAAAUUGCGACGCAAUGGACUGGAGACACCACCGGAGACACCUGUUGACUCUUCCUCGGAGUACGCUGUUGUGGUGCACUGGACUCGCGCUCAACGCAACAAAUUUCCAUCUAUCACACUGGAGACGCCCUGGUAGAGAGUUCGAAUAAACAUAUAUCAUACGCGAAUAUAAAAUUAUCUCAACAAAUUUGGAGACGUCACAGCUAUUCAUCGGAUUUGACGAAGGCACAGCGUAGGUGGAAAGCCAAAAGGUCCUUGAUUCGGAUUACUACUCGUAGUUGUGGCUCAUUGCUUACAGACCAGACUUUUGAAUGGGAUGGAUGGGAUGGAAUUGUGUGGAAAGGAUGCCAGCAUCUAGCUCCGAGUGGGUUCUGGCGAAGACUUAAAAAAUAAAAUAUUUAAUGCUGUCAGCUUUGCUGUUGGCCGCGUGUGAUAAAUACACAUGUA